rnacentral:tRNA from 1 species
GCCCGGGUGCUCAGUCGGUUAAGCGUCUGACUUCAGCUCAGGUCGUGAUCUCAUAGUUCGUGGGUUCAAGCCCCGCAUCGGGCU